rnacentral:rRNA from 1 species
UACGUAGGGUGCAAGCGUUAAUCGGAAUUACUGGGCGUAAAGCGUGCGCAGGCGGUUAUAUAAGACAGAUGUGAAAUCCCCGGGCUCAACCUGGGAACUGCAUUUGUGACUGCAUCGCUAGAGUACGGCAGAGGGGGAUGGAAUUCCGCGUGUAGCAGUGAAAUGCGUAGAUAUGCGGAGGAACACCGAUGGCGAAGGCAAUCCCCUGGGCCUGUACUGACACUCCAUGCACGAAAGCGUGGGGAGCAAACAGG